AGGAUAAACGCUGGCGGCGUGCCUAACACAUGCAAGUCGAACGCGCUUUCGGGCUUCGGUGCGAGAGCGAGUGGCGGACGGGUGAGUAACACAUGGGUACCUACCUUGGAGUGAGGGAUACCGGCGAGAAAUCGCCGACAAUACCGCAUAGGCUUCUUCACAAGGGAAGCAAAGUGACGCGAGUCACGCUGUGAGAUGGGCCUGUGGCCGAUUAGCUAGUUGGGGGGUAACGGCUUCCCAAGGCGACGAUCGGUAGCUGGUCUGAGAGGACGAUCAGCCACACUGGGAUUGAGAACGGCCCAGACUCCUACGGGGGGCAGCAGUGAGGAAUUUUCGGCAAUGGACGAAAGUCUGACCGAGCGACGCCGCGUGGAGGAUGACGCCUUUCGGGGUGUAAACUCCUUUUCUGCGGGAAGAUAAUGACGGUACCGCGAGGAAUAAGCACCGGCUAACUACGUGCCAGCAGCCGC
rnacentral:rRNA from 1 species